UUUUAUGAGAGUUUGAUCCUGGCUCAGGACGAACGCUGGCGGCGUGCCUAAUACAUGCAAGUCGAACGCUUCUUUUUCCACCGGAGCUUGCUCCACCGGAAAAAGAGGAGUGGCGAACGGGUGAGUAACACGUGGGUAACCUGCCCAUCAGAAGGGGAUAACACUUGGAAACAGGUGCUAAUACCGUAUAACAAUCGAAACCGCAUGGUUUUGAUUUGAAAGGCGCUUUCGGGUGUCGCUGAUGGAUGGACCCGCGGUGCAUUAGCUAGUUGGUGAGGUAACGGCUCACCAAGGCGACGAUGCAUAGCCGACCUGAGAGGGUGAUCGGCCACAUUGGGACUGAGACACGGCCCAAACUCCUACGGGAGGCAGCAGUAGGGAAUCUUCGGCAAUGGACGAAAGUCUGACCGAGCAACGCCGCGUGAGUGAAGAAGGUUUUCGGAUCGUAAAACUCUGUUGUUAGAGAAGAACAAGGAUGAGAGUAACUGUUCAUCCCUUGACGGUAUCUAACCAGAAAGCCACGGCUAACUACGUGCCAGCAGCCGCGGUAAUACGUAGGUGGCAAGCGUUGUCCGGAUUUAUUGGGCGUAAAGCGAGCGCAGGCGGUUUCUUAAGUCUGAUGUGAAAGCCCCCGGCUCAACCGGGGAGGGUCAUUGGAAACUGGGAGACUUGAGUGCAGAAGAGGAGAGUGGAAUUCCAUGUGUAGCGGUGAAAUGCGUAGAUAUAUGGAGGAACACCAGUGGCGAAGGCGGCUCUCUGGUCUGUAACUGACGCUGAGGCUCGAAAGCGUGGGGAGCAAACAGGAUUAGAUACCCUGGUAGUCCACGCCGUAAACGAUGAGUGCUAAGUGUUGGAGGGUUUCCGCCCUUCAGUGCUGCAGCUAACGCAUUAAGCACUCCGCCUGGGGAGUACGACCGCAAGGUUGAAACUCAAAGGAAUUGACGGGGGCCCGCACAAGCGGUGGAGCAUGUGGUUUAAUUCGAAGCAACGCGAAGAACCUUACCAGGUCUUGACAUCCUUUGACCACUCUAGAGAUAGAGCCUUCCCCUUCGGGGGCAAAGUGACAGGUGGUGCAUGGUUGUCGUCAGCUCGUGUCGUGAGAUGUUGGGUUAAGUCCCGCAACGAGCGCAACCCUUAUUGUUAGUUGCCAUCAUUUAGUUGGGCACUCUAGCAAGACUGCCGGUGACAAACCGGAGGAAGGUGGGGAUGACGUCAAAUCAUCAUGCCCCUUAUGACCUGGGCUACACACGUGCUACAAUGGGAAGUACAACGAGUCGCAAAGUCGCGAGGCUAAGCUAAUCUCUUAAAGCUUCUCUCAGUUCGGAUUGUAGGCUGCAACUCGCCUACAUGAAGCCGGAAUCGCUAGUAAUCGCGGAUCAGCACGCCGCGGUGAAUACGUUCCCGGGCCUUGUACACACCGCCCGUCACACCACGAGAGUUUGUAACACCCGAAGUCGGUGAGGUAACCUUUUGGAGCCAGCCGCCUAAGGUGGGAUAGAUGAUUGGGGUGAAGUCGUAACAAGGUAGCCGUAUCGGAAGGUGCGGCUGGAUCACCUCCUUUCUAAGGAA
rnacentral:rRNA from 1 species